rnacentral:lncRNA from 1 species
CAUGAUGUCAGCAGCACCGGUGUUGGUCUUUGUGGGAAAGAAAAACACAGGCCAGGGCUGCAGCACGAUUGUGUCUGCCCAGCUCUUGCAGCCUGGAGAACACCGUUGGAUUCCCUCCCACACAUGCUCCCAGGCUGCCUGCCUGCCUCACUUACCUGCUCAGGGUGGGGCUUGAGGGUGGCCCCUGGGAAGAGUAAGAACUGGCCAAGACUGAGAUGUCCUUCCCUCAUUUAAGGUACCGCCUUUUCCCUUUUCCCGCCAUCCUGGGUGCAUGGAUACUUGGGAUUAGAAACUGGACUGGAAAUGUAAUCUUUCUUCGGUUUGGGGCUGAGAACUGGGGAUUAGUAGGAUUUUGAGUUUAUGGCACAGCCUUUUCUUACACCAUUUCCUAAAAAGCAGUUAAGAUUACACCAGGCACAGUGGCUUACGCCUAUAAUCUCAGCACUUUGGGAGGCUGAGGCAGGUGGAUCAAGACCAGCUUAACCAACAUGGUGAAACCCCAUCUCUACUAAAAAUACAAAAAUUAGCUGGGCGUGGUGGCACGCAUUUGUAGUCCCGGCUACUUGGGAGGCUGAGGCAGGAGAAUUCCUUGAACCCGGGAGGCGGAGGUUGCGGUGAGCUGAGAUUGCACCAUUGCACUCCAGCAGCCUGGGCAACAGCAACGAAACUCCGUCUCAAAAAAAAAAAAAAAUUACAGUCAUCUCCCAGAAAAAUCAAGAAGGAAGAACCUUGGAGGUUCAACCUAUAGAAGAUAUGUUCUCAUGGAAUAAACCAAAAAUAAUUUUUAUUUUCUAAAAAAUCAAGAACAGAAGUCUCUCAACAUUUAAGUUUUACAAACAAAUAGAAUCUGAGCCACUGGGUUAAACAUGACAAACGACACACAGUAACAAAUAUUGAAGACAUCAUAAUGCCAAAGCAACAGAAGCAGCACCAGAAAUGUUGCUGAGGCCACCAUUUAAUUAACGCAAGUUGAACAUAUGGCUUUGGUUACAUGUGGUUCCAGGCCAGAGGCAUGGAAGUCAGUGUUUGUGGGAAAGCCAGGAGGAAAAGCUCCUCUCCCCACCUCCACCUUGUCACUCCAGGUUCUGGUGACCCCAUCUCGGGACACGGCCUCCCAUUUCACUCCUGCACCAACCCCACUCUUGUAACACUGCACAUGCAAGAUGUGAGCAUCUUCAAAGUACGAAUAUUGCCUUCUUCAUUUUAGAAUCCAUGAUGUGCUUGUGGGGAGAAUGAAUGAAUGCUCAAACAUGAAUGGAGAGAGACAGAGAGGAAGUGCAGGUCUAACCAAGGAAACCUUCUUUCCUAGAAAAUCGUUGAUGAGCCCGGAAAGAGUUGGCUGAACAACGGUAACAAUUCUUUUAUUAUUAUUUAACUUAUUAAGUUAUUAGAAAAAGUAAAAGAGUGAGUCGAGGUUUUUGGAUUGGAAGUAGGGACCCACUGAGUUCCCUCCAGGAUUGUGGAGUUUCUUUUACAGCCACAUGUGGAUAAGAAACUAAGGGCCACAGACCAAAUGACAGGUCGGAUGGCAACCCUGGAAAAGUCACACAGCUCAGCCUGUUGGAGGAAGAGGAGCAGUAGAACCUGUGUGGAGCCUGACAGAACCCAAGAUGCCAUUCACGAACCGAGAGGUCUUUCAAGAUCACACACAGUUCUACGACACAGACAUUUCGUCUUCUUGCCACUCAGUAGCGGGGCCCAUCCCUCUGUGCCUCCAAGGAGAAAGAAUUGUGCCAUGAAAAAUGGAAAACUCCUGAGAAGCUGUUCCAGCGUCAGGAGAGCAGCAGACAAGCUGGACUGGGGAAGAUUCUUCCUGCAAGACCUGCAGAGUGUAUGACACAUAACCAGCACCCAAGAAAUGUCUACCGAGGAAUUAAUGAAUGAGCCAUCUUGUGAUCAUCUGGCAAGACAGCCCAAGAAUAAAGCCGUCACCAUGGAGACUAAGAAGAGACAGAAAGACACUGGGUCUUCAUUGUCUCGUCCAGCUGUUCAUGAGGCCUUAUCUGAAGCCCACGUGACCUCCGGACUACUCACUUACAUGAGAGAAUAAAGCUCUUUUUUGUUUAGACCAAAUAAAUACAUAAUACAAUUACAUAAUCCCUUGAUUCCUUUUUAUGACUGAGCUCAGAGACUAUAUUUUGUCAUUUUAAAUCACCUUUGUCUUACAGUUUAUUUAACUGAAACAAAUAAACAAACCAAAACACGCCAGUUUUUCACUCCUCUGUCAAAGCCUUUCCAAGAUCACUAAGCUUGUGAUGUCCUGGGUGAAUGAAGAAGUAACAGUGUUUUCAACAACAUAGAAGCUUAUUUCUCUCUCAUAUAAAAGAAGGCUGGAGUCUGGCUGGUAUGGGAGAUACAGCAUCAUCAAAGUUUUAUCUUUUCGUCCUGCCAUCCUUAGAAUAUGGCUUUCAUCUUCAAGAUCACUUCCUAAGCUAUGAGGAUGCAAAGGUAUAAGAAUGACAUAGCGGACUUUGGGGACUCGGUGUGGGGAGAAGUUGGGAGGGGUGAGGGAUAAGAGACUACAUAUUGGGUACAGUGUACACUGCUCUAAAAUCUCAGAAAUCACCACCAAAGAACCUAUCCGUGGAAUCAAAAACCACCUAUACCCCCAAAACCACUGAAAUAAAACUAAAAAUUAAUUAAAAAAAAAAACAACAUAACUUCAUGGUCCAAUGUGACAGCUAGAGCGCCAAUCAUCAUGUUAAACUUCCUGUUCCAGAAAGGCAUGGAAGGAAGGGAGAAGGAGAAAAAGGAGUCUGUGAGUAGUCUAUUCCCUCUUAAGGAGUCCACAGAAGACUACCCAACAACUUCUGCUUAUGUCUCACUGGCCCUCAGGCUGCAAAUGUGGCUUCCAAGUGUAGUCUUUCAGCUGAGCACACUGCCACCCAGAUUAAAAUCUGGGUUAUGUGACCAAGGAAAAAGAGGAGACUGGAUAUUGGAUAGGCAACUAACAGUCUCUGCCGCACCCUACUUAACAAACUGGCCCAGCUUCUGUGUUCAGAUCUGAUGCUUGGUGCCCGCAGCUCCAAGGAGACCCCAUGGUUCAAGCUGCAAUUACUUGCUCCACAGGCCCUUACCAAGGAAAGUCAGGUUUUUUCCCUCCUGAGGAUCCUCUGACCAGCAUCUUCAGAUUUUUUUUCAGUUAGAAGUAUUCAUUGGGCACCUG